UACGGAGGGUGCGAGCGUUGUCCGGAAUCACUGGGCGUAAAGGGCGCGUAGGCGGCUCAUGAAGGCUGUGGUGAAAGUCCGGGGCUCAACCUCGGAUCGGCCGUGGCGACUCGUGGGCUGGAGCACUGUAGAGGCGGGUGGAAUUCCGGGUGUAGCGGUGGAAUGCGUAGAGAUCCGGAAGAACACCCGUGGCGAAGGCGGCUCUCUGGGGACGGUACUGACGCUGAGACGCGAAAGCGGUGGGGAGCGAACAGG
rnacentral:rRNA from 1 species